UAGGAGCAGGGGCAACACGGGGUCCUUUGUUAGGAUGAUCAUUGCCAAGGUCAGGCAAUCUUCUCCUAUGUUUAUUGUGGUUAAUGCUGCUGCUAUUGGGUGCAAAUUUGAGUGAUGCAUUGGUGUUAGGUCGAAUGAGGCCUUUGGCCAACUAGGCAUGUUCAAGCACCUUGACAUAUGAGCUGGGUCUCAUCAUCGCCACUCUAUCAUAGAUAUUAGCAUGAAGAUCCUUUAGAAAUUUUUUAGCCAUACUACUUUUCAGGGUAACCAUCAGAGGGACAAACUUAGACAACUGGGUAAAAUGGGUGGCAUACUGGUUAACAGUCAUAUUCCCUUGGUAGAGGUCUUGAAAUUCCUCCUCUUUCUUCUUUCGGACGUAUAUAGGGAAGAAAUUCUCAAAGAAGACAUCCAUUAAAACUUCCCAAGUCCAUGGGGAGGGUAGGACAUCUUUCUUAAGUUGCCACCAGUGUUCAAUUUCACUAGUCAGCAUAAAGGCUGCAAAGGGAACCUUCUACUCCUCUAUUAGGUCUGGGAUGGAGAAAAGC
rnacentral:lncRNA from 1 species